rnacentral:rRNA from 1 species
GAUGAACGCUGGCGGCGUGCCUAAUACAUGCAAGUCGAGCGAACAGAUAAGGAGCUUGCUCCUUUGACGUUAGCGGCGGACGGGUGAGUAACACGUGGGUAACCUACCUAUAAGACUGGAAUAACUCCGGGAAACCGGGGCUAAUGCAGGAUAACAUGUUGAACCGCAUGGUUCUACAGUGAAAGGCGGCUUUGCUGUCACUUAUAGAUGGACCCGCGCCGUAUUAGCUAGUUGGGGAGGCAACGGCUCACCAAGGCAACGAUACGUAGCCGACCUGAGAGGGUGAUCGGCCACACUGGAACUGAGACACGGUCCAGACUCCUACGGGAGGCAGCAGUAGGGAAUCUUCCGCAAUGGGCGAAAGCCUGACGGAGCAACGCCGCGUGAGUGAUGAAGGUCUUCGGAUCGUAAAACUCUGUUAUUAGGGAAGAACAAAUGCGUAAGUAACUGUGCGCGUCUUGACGGUACCUAAUCAGAAAGCCACGGCUAACUACGUG